CCUACGGGAGGCAGCAGUGGGGGAUAUUGCACAAUGGGGGAAACCCUGAUGCAGCGACGCCGCGUGGGUGAAGAAGGAUUUCGGUAUUUAAAGCCCUAUCAGCAGGGAAGAAAGAAGACGUUACCUGACUAAGAAGCCCCGGCUAACUACGUGCCAGCCGCCUCGGUAAUACGUAGGGGGCGAGCGUUAUCCGGAUUCACUGGGUGUAAAGGGAGCGUAGACGGCAGUGCAAGCCAGGAGUGAAAGCCCGGGGCACAACCCCGGGACUGCUUUUGAAACUGUGCGGCUAGAGUGCGGGAGCGGCAGGCGGAAUUCCUGGUGUAGCGGUGAAAUGCGUAGAUAUCAGGCGGAACACCGGCGGCGAAGGCGGCCUGCUGGACCGCGACUGACGUUGAGGCUCGAAAGCGUGGGGAGCGAACAGGAUUAGAUACCCUUGUAGUC
rnacentral:rRNA from 1 species